rnacentral:lncRNA from 1 species
UAUACCCAGGAAAAAGGGAAGUACCUUCAAAGGAACAUAGCUGAAGUAUCUGAUGGCAGAUAAUUUAAUGUCCUUUAUUUUUGUUUUGUUUUGUUUUAGGGGUGAGGCAAUGAGAAAUGGGAGAAAAAGUUAUCCUCUACAGAUCCAGCUAUAGUUUUGUUGCUGAGAGAACACAGCCAGCACCAUGAGAGGACUAGUGGGGAUGUAGUAUUAUCUUCAGCCAACACCACCAACAUUACAUUCAGAGCAAAAAUAAAAUGAAGGCGAACUUCAGAGAGGCAGUGGGUAUAAGAGGUUUUGCUGACAGCAUGGUGUAAAGAAUAAGACCUUGAGUCCGGCGAUGAUCUUAGGAGGCAUGGGUCCUAGAAAGCUUAGGAUCAUAUGCAAAACCCUACUCAAACUCAUUUCAACUGUCUGGAAAUAUAGUACAUGCCAUGGACUUACUUCAGGAAAGAAUGAUUUCCCUGUUACAGCAUUCCUUGAAGAAAAACAGAAUUGGAUAUGCUGACCCGGCUAUGUAUUUUUUUUAAAAAUAACUGAGUUACUGAGUCACUGCACACUCUACCCUCUCUGCACAGUUCCAGACUGCUGCCACUCAAAAACCCAGGCCUCUGCACCACUCAAACGGAGCACAAGCACUCAGCCAUGGCAGAUUUUUG